rnacentral:sRNA from 1 species
AAGAUAGACAAAAAAA